AUGUGUUCCCUCCAUGCCAAUGAAGCACGUGGUGUGGCUCAUGUCAGUGGAGAGGGACUGAGCACACCUGAUGGAACAAGUCCUGGACAAAACCAAGUCCUAUCUCCAGGGCCUAAUCCAAGUCACUCAUCCAUUAGUAGUGGGAACUUGAGGGUUGUCCGGAAGCUCUCUUUGUCAGCCCCAAGUGAUGAAGAAUCAGGGGAAGAGGUGAAACGUCAGUCCCCACAACUGUGUCACAGAUCCCCUAAACUUGUCCCAUGUGAACGUGAUACAUCACAGGAGGAUGAGUGUGAAUCUCCUUCAUCUGAAUGCAAAGAAGAUGAGCUCUUUUUGGCUGUGCCAUCACUUAGUCAUGGUGAGUCAGAGGGUGAGGAUUUUGCCCGAAUACAAAAUGGACCAAUCACACAGUUUGCUUCACAGAGAGCAAGAAGGCAACAAGAACUCUCUCCAUCUCCAGAACAAGGUCAUCAAGAACAAGGUGGCUGGUUCUUGCAUCAGUUUGACCAUAAAAAUCAUGCAAGAAGGACUGGAUCUACAUCACCACAGAGCCCCAGAGAGAUCAUCUCUAGUCAAGGCAGCAACAACCACUUCCUUUGUGGUAGGUCUUGUUCUCAAUUAAGUGCAUCCUCAGAUGACCACCCACAAAACCGUGCACCAUCCCCUGCAGACAGUGUAGAUUCUGGGUACACCUUCAUUAUCAGCGCCCCCAGAGAUUUUACCCACUCCCAGCGUCAUACUGCUCGCCUCUCCAGAUCAGCUGCUGACAUUUCCUACUGCAACAGACCCCUCAGUGAAACCAGAACACACCAAUCAAGCAUAUGGAGUGUAACUAAGAGUCAUUUAUCCUCACUCACAAGCCCCAACUUCCAAAAACGAAAUGAGGUAUCACGGACUAAAUCCUGUCCCAGUCAUGGUAACUUCUCUCAAAAGAACACCCAACAACAUGCUUCUUGUUCCAGUAGAGUGUCUCGUUCACUCUCUAUGUCUGUUAUCGAUAACUCAUCUCAGAAAAGACGGAACCACUUUACAUCAGGACGGCAGAAUUCUCUAAAUGAGAACAAAUUGCGUGGAGAGAGGAGUGAGCCAGCCCUUCUAGAGUUAGAGGAGGAUGCUGAAUCAUUAGCACCAGAGCAGGUGCGUCUUGUCCGGCAGUUUGGUAAACAAGGCUCAGGACGUGCUGAUCUCACUCUGCCCAGUGGUGUCCACGCAACACCGCAAGGUCAGCUGUUCUUUGUGGAUUGUGGGAAUGCUCGUGUCCAGGUAACUGAUGCCCAUGGCAAUAUCCUACAACAAGUGACUUCUCCAAGUAAUGACUUGGGAGGCUCCUCACAACGUUGCCGCAAUUACUUUGAUGUGGCUGUCAAUGCCAAGGGUUUGAUUGCUCUGAGCUGUGCAGCUGAAAGGGCUCUCCUGAUCCUUAGUCGGCAUGGGCGUCUUCUACAAACAUUUGGAGGGGGACCCUACAUUGCAGGAGUACCUCGAGAUGAGUUGGAAGCACCGAGGGGAGUGACAGUCACCCAAAGAGAUGAAUUCCUAGUUGCAGAUAUACGAAAGGGUACUCUUACAGCACUAAAACUUGAACCUAAAACUGGCUCCAGAUUGGAACGCACUGUGGUGACCGGUUUCCACAGGCCUUACCUGGUCGCAGCAUGCCUGUACUCUGGUCUGAUCGCAGUGUCUGAGCGAGGCAGUGAAAUAGGGCAGGAGCCUUGUGUGAAGAUUUUAGGACCUGGAUGGGACACCCUACGAAUCCUGGGUGUUUGUUCUAGCUUAGGGCCCAUACUCUCCUGUCCUUGGGGCCUCUGCAUUGAUAAGGAUGCGGUCUGUUAUGGUGGCAGACUGGGGAGAAAAACAUCGGGUACUUCUAUAUCCUUCUGA
ensembl:lncRNA